GACGACGCUGGCGGCGUGCCUAACACAUGCAAGUCGGACGGAUCAGGUAUGACAGCUUGCUGUAGUGCCUGGUUAGUGGCGGACGGGUGAGUAACGCGUGAGGACCUACCCUGGAGAGGGGGAUAACGGCUGGAAACGGCUGCUAAUACCCCGUAAGCCUGAGGGUGAAAGGGAGCGAUCUGCUCCGGGGCGGCCUUGCGUCCUAUCAGCUAGUUGGUGGGGUAAUGGCCUACCAAGGCGAAGACGGGUAGCCGGCCUGAGAGGGCGACCGGCCACACUGGAACUGAGACACGGUCCAGACUCCUACGGGAGGCAGCAGUGGGGAAUAUUGGGCAAUGGGGGGAACCCUGACCCAGCGACGCCGCGUGAGGGACGAAGUCCUUCGGGAUAUAAACCUCUGUUGUGGGGGAAGAAGUCAGUGACGGUACCUCACGAGGAAGCCCCGGCAAACUACGUG
rnacentral:rRNA from 1 species